GUGAUUAGCUCAGCUGGGAGAGCACCUCCCUUACAAGGAGGGGGUCGGCGGUUCGAUCCCGUCAUCACCCACCA
rnacentral:tRNA from 34 species